AGUGAACGCUGGCGGUAGGCCUAACACAUGCAAGUCGAACGGCAGCACAGUAAGAGCUUGCUCUUACGGGUGGCGAGUGGCGGACGGGUGAGGAAUACAUCGGAAUCUACUUUUUCGUGGGGGAUAACGUAGGGAAACUUACGCUAAUACCGCAUACGACCUACGGGUGAAAGCAGGGGAUCUUCGGACCUUGCGCGAUUGAAUGAGCCGAUGUCGGAUUAGCUAGUUGGCGGGGUAAAGGCCCACCAAGGCGACGAUCCGUAGCUGGUCUGAGAGGAGGUACACCCAACUGGAGAGUGAACGGCGUCCCGGGCACCUAGAGGAGGCAGAGGGGGGUAAUUGAGGAAAAAGGGGGGAAGCCUGAACAAUCCAACCCGGGUGGGUGAAGAAGCCCUGCGGGUUGUAAGACCCUUUUUUGGGGAAAAAAAGCCAGCGGGUUAAACCCCCUGUGUUUUGAGGGAACCCAAAAAGAAAGCCCCGCUAACUUGGUG
rnacentral:rRNA from 1 species